CCAGACUCCUACGGGAGGCAGCAGUGAGGAAUAUUGGUCAAUGGCCGGAAGGCUGAACCAGCCAAGUCGCGUGAGGGACGACGGUCCUAUGGAUUGUAAACCUCUUUUGUCGGGGAACAAAGGCGCCCACGGGUGGGCGGAUGAGUGUACCCGAAGAAAAAGCAUCGGCUAACUCCGUGCCAGCAGCCGCGGUAAUACGUAGGGAGCGAGCGUUGUCCGGAAUUACUGGGUGUAAAGGGAGCGUAGGCGGGCUUGUAAGUUGAAUGUCUAAUCCACCGGCUCAACCGGUGAUCGCGUUCAAAACUGCAGGUCUUGAGUGAAGUAGAGGCAGGCGGAAUUCCUAGUGUAGCGGUGAAAUGCGUAGAUAUUAGGAGGAACACCAGUGGCGAAGGCGGCCUGCUGGGCUUUAACUGACGCUGAGGCUCGAAAGCGUGGGGAGCAAACAGGAUUAGAUACCCCUGUACA
rnacentral:rRNA from 1 species